rnacentral:lncRNA from 1 species
AUGGGUAAGGUGAAGGUCAGAGUCAACAGAUUUGGUCGUACUGGGUGCCUGGUGCACCAUGACUGCUUUUAACUCUGGUAAAGUGGAUAUUGUUGCCAUCAAUGACCCCUUCAUUGACCUCAACUACAUGGUCUACAUGUUCCUGUAUGAUUCUACACAUGGCAAAUUCCAUGGCACCGUCAAGGCUGAGAACGGGACGCUUGUCAUCAAUGGAAACCCCAUCACCCAUUUUCCAGGACCAAGAUCCCUCCAAAAUCAAAUGGGGUGAUGCUGGCGCUGAGUACGUCGUAGAGUUCACUGGUGUCUUCACCACCAUGGAGAAGGCUGGGGCUCACUUGCAGGGGGGAGCCAAAAGGGUCAACAUCUCUGUCCUCUCUGUUGAUGCCCCCAUGUUUGUGAUGGGCGUGAACCAUGAGAAGUAUGACAACAGCCUCAAGAUCGUCAGCAAUGCCUCCUGCAUCACCAACUGCUUAGCGCCCCAGCCAAGGUCAUCCAUGACAACUUUGGUAUCAUAGAAGGAUUCAUGACCACAGUUCACACCAUCACUGCCACCCAGACUAUAAAUGGCCCCUCCGGGAAACUGUCACGUGAUGGCUGCAGGGCUCUCCAGGACAUCAUCCCUGUCUCUACUGGCGCUGCCAAGCCUGUGGGUAAGGUCAUCCCUGAGCUGAACGGGAAGCUCACUGGCAUGGCCUUCCAUGUCCCCACUGCCAAUGUGUCAGUGGCGGACCUGACCUGUCGUCUGGAAAAACCUGCCAAUAUGAUGACAUCAAGAAGGUGGUGAAGUAGGCAUCGGAGGGCCCCCUCAAGAGCAUCCUGGGCUACAAUGAGCACCAGAUGGUCUCCUUCGACUUCAACAGCAACACCCACUCUUCUACCUUCGAUGCUGGGGCAGCCAUUGUCCUCAAGGACCACUCUGUCAAGCUAAUUUCCUGGUAUGACAAUGAAUUUGGCUACAGCAACAGGGUGGUGCACCUCAUGGCCCACAAUGCCUCCAAGGAGUAA